rnacentral:rRNA from 1 species
AGCGAACGCUGGCGGCAGGCUUAACACAUGCAAGUCGAGCGGGCCCUUCGGGGUCAGCGGCGGACGGGUGAGUAACGCGUGGGAACGUGCCUUCUGGUCUGGAAUAACCCUGGGAAACUAGGGCUAAUACCGGAUACGCCCUUUUGGGGAAAGGUUUACUGCCGGAAGAUCGGCCCGCGUCUGAUUCGCUAGUUGGUGGGGUAACGGCCUACCAAGGCGACGAUCAGUAGCUGGUCUGAGAGGAUGAUCAGCCACACUGGGACUGAGACACGGCCCAGACUCCUACGGGAGGCAGCAGUGGGGAAUAUUGGACAAUGGGCGCAAGCCUGAUCCAGCCAUGCCGCGUGAGUGAUGAAGGCCUUAGGGUUGUAAAGCUCUUUUAUCCGGGACGAUAAUGACGGUACCGGAGGAAUAAGCCCCGGCUAACUUCGUG